rnacentral:rRNA from 1 species
UACGGAGGGUGCAAGCGUUAAUCGGAAUUACUGGGCGUAAAGCGCGCGGAGGUGGCUUGAUAAGCCGGUUGUGAAAGCCCCGGGCUCAACCUGGGAACGGCAUCCGGAACUGUCAGGCUAGAGUGUGGUAGAGGGUAGUGGAAUUUCCUGUGUAGCGGUGAAAUGCGUAGAUAUAGGAAGGAACACCAGUGGCGAAGGCGGCUACCUGGACCAACACUGACACUGAGGUGCGAAAGCGUGGGGAGCAAACAGG